rnacentral:miRNA from 17 species
CCUGUCAGUUCCAUAGGCCACUA